rnacentral:rRNA from 1 species
GACGAACGCUGGCGGCGUGUUUAACACAUGCAAGUCGAACGGAAAGGCCCUGCUUUUGUGGGGUGCUCGAGUGGCGAACGGGUGAGUAACACGUGAGUAACCUGCCCUUGACUUUGGGAUAACUUCAGGAAACUGGGGCUAAUACCGGAUAGGAGCUCCUGCUGCAUGGUGGGGGUUGGAAAGUUUCGGCGGUUGGGGAUGGACUCGCGGCUUAUCAGCUUGUUGGUGGGGUAGUGGCUUACCAAGGCUUUGACGGGUAGCCGGCCUGAGAGGGUGAUCGGCCACAUUGGGACUGAGAUACGGCCCAGACUCCUACGGGAGGCAGCAGUGGGGAAUAUUGCACAAUGGGCGGAAGCCGAUGCAGCAACGCCGCGUGCGGGAUGACGGCCUUCGGGUUGUAAACCGCUUUCGCCUGUGACGAAGCGUGAGUGACGGUAAUGGGUAAAGAAGCACCGGCUAACUACGUG